AGUUAUGAUGAAAUGUGAUUCUGCUUACCUCAUCUGACAGAACUGAUGACAAAAUCACAGCGCUCUGAGCUUCUGUUAUAUUCUUUACUGUAAUGCAUGCAUUGAAAUCAAUGAACAAUUUUAUUUGCAUCAGCAAGGUCAAGCAAUAGAAAAAGAAGUUUUGGGAUAAGGAGUCAAGAUGGGGUUUAUUUUAAUGAAUAUUUAAUUAAUGUUCAGUUUGUGAUGAAAGUUUCAAGUCUUUGAAUUUGACUGCAUAUUAAUUGUAUUCAGCCAGAUAUAAAUAAUUAUGUACAGAAUGCUCUCUUCUGUAUAUACUGGUAGCUUUAUUCAUUGGUUCUGUGACUUGGUGAGCUUCGUGAGAUGAUGAUAGGCUGGUAUUUUAUUGUAUAUGAGGGUUAAAAGAGAUUUCAAAAUAGGGAAAAAUAAUUUGUAAAAACAAAAAAUUCACCCUAUCAGCACCUUAAAUUUGCUAUUAAGACUCCAAACAAGAAAUUUUGAAUUAGAAAACAUAAGUUCCUUUCUUUAUAGCAAGGUGAGUGUCUUAGUGAAUCAACUUCCAAAUUUAUAACUUUUUGAAUAUAUAAUCAAACUCAAGAAUUAUGUGAAACAAAAAAUUAGGUCUGCAUGAGCAACUUAUAUGAUGAAUUGUGUUUCUGCUUACCUUCCUGAAUUAGAGGUGAGGAUAUUAUCACAGCGCUCUGAAGU
rnacentral:sRNA from 1 species